rnacentral:rRNA from 1 species
UACGGAGGGUGCAAGCGUUAUCCGGAUUCACUGGGUUUAAAGGGUGCGUAGGCGGGCAAGUAAGUCAGUGGUGAAAUCCCGGAGCUUAACUCCGAAACUGCCAUUGAUACUAUUUGUCUUGAAUAUUGUGGAGGUUUGCGGAAUAUGUCAUGUAGCGGUGAAAUGCAUAGAUAUGACAUAGAACACCUAUUGCGAAGGCAGCAGGCUACACAUAUAUUGACGCUGAGGCACGAAAGCGUGGGGAUCAAACAGG